rnacentral:rRNA from 1 species
UACAGAGGGGGCAAGCGUUAUUCGGAAUUAUUGGGCGUAAAGGGCGCGUAGGCGGCUUUUCAAGUGACGGGUGAAAUCCCUCGGCUUAACCGGGGAACUGCAUCUGAUACUGGAUGGCUUGAGUUCGGGAGAGGGAUGCGGAAUUCCAGGUGUAGCGGUGAAAUGCGUAGAUAUCUGGAGGAACACCGGUGGCGAAGGCGGCAUCCUGGACCGACACUGACGCUGAGGAGCGAAAGCCAGGGGAGCAAACGGG